UGUCUCAAUCUGUUGUCGCAUGCUCACAUUUCUUGAAAGUUGAAAGGAAAGAGACUUGAUGGGUUCCUCCUCGUCUGCACACCCCACAUUAACCCAAAUAGUCUAUCCCUUUUAUAAUCAACCAUUUUUAUUCUACAUUUUUUUCUCUGGGUUAUCUUCAUUUCAUUUCAUUAUAUAUUCCCCAAGAACUGUUUACAAUAAUGUGUGAUUUUUUUUCUUCUUAACAGACCCCACAAACCCAAACAAAACACGUUGUUUUUUCUAUCUUAAUGUUCUUUAAUAACAAAAAAGUCAUUGUAUAAUCAAAGGCAAAAAGUUUCCUAGUCCUUUGCUUGAUACGGUUGAAUUGAUUUUUGGGGUUGUAAUAUUGUUCCCUUCUUGCCUUGCAGUCUUUUCUUUGAUCAUUUCUUGUGUAUUGGGUUUUGGGUUGUUCCAAUCUUGUCUAAUUUUCUUUCUUCUAUAUAAUAAGGUUUCCUUUUUAUUCAUUUUUUUUUUCUGACACAAUCCAAUUCUAUUCCCAGACCAAAAUCCUUGUUUGGCUGUCUUGGUAUUAGGGUUUGUUGUUUUACCUUGUUGGCCCUAUAUGUCUCACGGGUUUGAAUAAAAACCCCCAUUUUGGGCAAAACAAUGCUGCAAUUUUAGACCUUGAUUGAUCUUCCUGUCUCGUUCAGUAAUUUUUACAAACAGUUGGUGUGCAACUUUGGUUGGUUCUUGAAUUUGUCUUGAGAUAUGGGUUGUGUUCAUGGAAAGUGGUGUUGUAGAUACCCAAGAUCCUCAGAUGGUGAGAAUAGACAAGAUUUGGGUGCAUAUGCUCAGGUUCAAACACAUAUUCUUGCUGGAAGGUCUGUAGAUAGUGCUCAAAUUCCUUCACAUAACUUCAGGUUAGAAUAUUCUGUGCUUACACAACGCGGUUUUUACCCUGAAUCCCCUGAGAAAGAAAAUCAGGAUAGUUAUUGUAUCAAAACACAAAUUCAGGACAACCCAAAUGUUCAUUUCUUUGGUGUAUUUGAUGGGCAUGGACAGUUUGGUACUGAAUGUUCUGUGUUUGUUAGAGAUAGGCUUGUAGAGAUUUUAUCGAAUGAUCCGACGUUGUUGGAUGACCCUGUUAAGGCUUAUAAUUCUGCAUUUACAAGAACAAAUGAAGAACUUCAUAAUAGUAGUGAUAUUGAUGAUUCAAUGAGUGGGACAACUGCUAUAACUGCUCUUCUUGUUGGAGACAUGUUGUAUGUUGCAAAUGUAGGUGAUUCAAGAGCAGUAUUGGCUGUUAAAGAAGGAAAUAGAGUUGUUGCUAAAGAUUUGUCUUCUGAUCAGACGCCGUUUAGGAAAGAUGAAUGUGAGAGAGUGAAAAGCUGUGGGGCAAGAGUUCUUAGUGUUGAUCAAGUUGAAGGUCUAAAAGAUCCUGAUAUUCAGUCAUGGGGGGAUGAGGAAACGGAAGGAGGUGAUCCACCUAGGUUGUGGGUACAAAAUGGGAUGUAUCCGGGGACUGCUUUUACGCGGAGUGUUGGAGAUAGUACAGCUGAAAGUAUUGGUGUAGUUGCUGUCCCGGAGGUGUCAACAGUACGUCUUACAGCUCAUCAUCCUUUCUUUGUAGUUGCAAGUGAUGGUGUCUUUGAGUUCCUCUCCAGCCAAACUGUGGUGGACAUGGUAAAUAGAUGCGCAGAUCCUAGGGAUGCAAGUUCAGCCAUUGCUGGAGAAUCUUACAAACUGUGGCUAGAUCAUGAAAAUCGGACAGAUGAUAUAACAAUCAUCAUUGUACAUAUUAAAGCCUUAUCCAAUUCAGGCGGUGGUGCCACAGCCAAAAGCAAUGGAGGAAGAACAACCAACACCCAGAAAGAAACAUCGGAGAUAUAUUUCACUCCGUGUGCUUCGGAAGGUUAUCGGUCAGUAAGGAGUGACUCGUCUGAAGUGAGCUGUUGUCAAACUGUUUCAUCAUUAGACCAGAGCUCCAAAGUAGUAGUUUCAUCUAGCUUGGAUUGAACAAAGAUAAGACUUCCAACGGUUUCCACGCAUUUCCCCAUAUUUUAGAUGUGCCUUAAAUGGAAAACAACUUUGUGACGACUUCUAAGUCCUUUUCUAAGCUAAGCAAGCUGGGCACUACGCUAGGACAUGGAUGAUCAUGUUGAAACUAGACUUCUCCAGAAUGUAACGUAGAUUUAAUAAAAGAUGAAUUUCAUCUUUGGUUUGAUCCUUUGUUCUCAUGGGUAGGAGAUAGAGAACUUGAAAGUGAAUCAUCAAGCCCUACCUUGUGUUUUUUUGGGUCGAAGGCAAGAAAUUGAAAGAGAAUUAUUCUGAGGUGGGUUGUUCAUAGAACAGAAGGCCUCAUUCAAGGAGUGGCAGAUUUGAAUGGCGUCUUGUGUAGGACUCCAAUUUGCUCAUAAAUUGGAUGGUGUUUUUAUCUUUUCCUAAUUUAAACUACUUCUUUAGGCCGAAUACAUUGACUGCUUUUUUAACUUGGAAAAAUAAACUUUUGAGAGAGUUUCAUGGGUGAAAAAAGCUAGAGAGGAGGGGGAAAAAGGAUAACCAUAAAGCAACCUAGUAUCACCAUACAUUAAAAUUGAUCUGCUCGCCACUUAAUUUACUUGGGACUCAAAAUUUAAAUUUAAUGAUUGUACUAAAAAAAUAAUUGAGCUGAGGGUCUACUGCAAAUAAUCGGGUUUGUGUACAUUU